rnacentral:rRNA from 1 species
GACGAACGCUGGCGGCGUGCUUAGCACAUGCAAGUCGAACGGAAAGGCCCUGCUUUUGUGGGGUGCUCGAGUGGCGAACGGGUGAGCAACACGUGAGUAACCUGCCCUUGACUUUGGGAUAACUUCAGGAAACUGGGGCUAAUACCGGAUAGGAGCUCCUGCUGCAUGGUGGGGGUUGGAAAGUUUCGGCGGUUGGGGAUGGACUCGCGGCUUAUCAGCUUGUUGGUGGGGUAGUGGCUUACCAAGGCUUUGACGGGUAGCCGGCCUGAGAGGGUGACCGGCCACAUUGGGACUGAGAUACGGCCCAGACUCCUACGGGAGGCAGCAGUGGGGAAUAUUGCACAAUGGGCGGAAGCCUGAUGCAGCAACGCCGCGUGCGGGAUGACGGCCUUCGGGUUGUAAACCGCUUUCGCCUGUGACGAAGCGUGAGUGACGGUAAUGGGUAAAGAAGCACCGACUAACUACGUG